rnacentral:rRNA from 1 species
CUCGAUAACGAACGAGACCUUAACCUGCUAACUAGUAACUAGAACUACGGUUCUAGGCAACUUCUUAGAGGGACUGACUACGUUUAGUAGUCGGAAGUUUGAGGCAAUAACAGGUCUGCGAUGCCCUUAGAUGUUCUGGGCUGCACGCGCGCUACACUGACAAAGUCAGCGAGUAUAAACCUUGACCGAGAGGUCUGGGUAAUCUUGUGAAACUUUGUCGUGCUGGGGAUAGAUCAUUGCAAUUAUUGGUCUUGAACGAGGAAUUCCUAGUAAGCGCAAGUCAUCAGCUUGCGUUGAUUACGUCCCUGCCCUUUGUACACACCGCCCGUCGCUAUUACCGAUUGAAUGGAUU